rnacentral:rRNA from 1 species
UAGUCCACGCCGUAAACGAUGGAUACUAGGUGUGGGAGGUAUUGACCCCUUCCGUGCCGGAGUUAACACAAUAAGUAUCCCACCUGGGGAGUACGGCCGCAAGGCUGAAACUCAAAGGAAUUGACGGGGGCCCGCACAAGCAGUGGAGUAUGUGGUUUAAUUCGAAGCAACGCGAAGAACCUUACCAAGUCUUGACAUCCCGAUGACCGGUGCAGAGAUGUGCCUUUUCUUCGGAACAUCGGUGAC